CCCGCCGAUGGGAACGGAUGAGGUAUUUAGGUACGUAAAGUUCUUUUAUUAAAGAAGAAAAAAUGAUGGAAAAAUCAUUCUGACGGUAUUUAAUGAAUAAGCCCCGGCUAACUAUGUGCCAGCAGCUGCGGUAAUACAUGGGGGGCAAGCGUUAUCCGGAUUUAUUGGGCGUAAAGGGUGCGUAGGCGGUUAAAUAAGUCUAUGGUAUAAGUUCAACGCUUAACGUUGUGAUGCUAUAGAAACUGUUUGACUAGAGUUGGAUAGAGGCAAGUGGAAUUCCAUGUGUAGCGGUAAAAUGCGUAAAUAUAUGGAGGAACACCAGUAGCGAAGGCGGCUUGCUGGGUCUUAACUGACGCUGAGGCACGAAAGCGUGGGGAGCAAACAGGAUUAGAUACCCUGGUAGUCCACGCCGUAAACGAUGAGUACUAAGUGUUGGGUUAAACCAGUGCUGAAGUUAACACAUUAAGUACUCCGCCUGAGUAGUACGUACGCAAGUAUGAAACUUAAAGGAAUUGACGGGACUCCGCACAAGCGGUGGAUCAUGUUGUUUAAUUCGAAGAUACACGAAAAACCUUACCAGGUCUUGACAUACUCUGCAAAGCUAUAGAAAUAUAGUGGAGGUUAUCAGGGAUACAGGUGGUGCAUGGUUGUCGUCAGCUCGUGUCGUGAGAUGUUGGGUUAAGUCCCGCAACGAGCGCAACCCUUAUCACUAGUUACCAUCAUUUAGUUGGGCACUUUAGUGAGACUGCCAAUGAUAAAUUGGAGGAAGGUGGGGAUUACGUCAAAUCAUCAUGCCCCUUAUGACCUGGGCUACAAACGUGAUACAAUGGCUGUUACUGAAUAUAUUCUCUGAAAA
rnacentral:rRNA from 1 species